AAUAUUGCGCAAUGGGGGGAACCCUGACGCAGCGACGCCGCGUGAGCGAUGAAGGCCUUCGGGUCGUAAAGCUCUGUCCUAUGGGACGAUAAUGACGGUACCAUAGGAGGAAGCCCCGGCUAACUACGUGCCAGCAGCCGCGGUAAUACGUAGGGGGCGAGCGUUGUCCGGAAUUAUUGGGCGUAAAGGGUGCGUAGGCGGCCUUUUAAGUCAGAUGUGAAAGCCCACGGCUUAACCGUGGGACUGCAUUUGAAACUGGAGGGCUUGAGUAUCGGAGAGGGUAGUGGAAUUCCCAGUGUAGCGGUGGAAUGCGUAGAUAUUGGGAGGAACACCAGUGGCGAAGGCGACUACCUGGACAAAAACUGACGCUGAGGUACGAAAGCGUGGGUAGCGAACA
rnacentral:rRNA from 1 species